UACGUAGGGUGCGAGCGUUUAAUCGGAAUUACUGGGCGUAAAGCGUGCGCAGGCGGUUCGUUAUGUCCGAUGUGAAAGCCCCGAGCUCAACUUGGGAAUGGCAUUGGAAACUGGCGGGCUGGAGUGUGGCAGAGGGGGGUGGAAUUCCACGUGUAGCAGUGAAAUGCGUAGAGAUGUGGAGGAACACCGAUGGCGAAGGCAGCCCCCUGGGCCAACACUGACGCUCAGGCACGAAAGCGUUGGGGAGCAAACAGGG
rnacentral:rRNA from 1 species